GAGAGAUGGCUGAGUGGUUUAUAGCCCCGGUCUUGAAAACCGGUAUAGUUCGAAAAACUAUCGAGGGUUCGAAUCCCUCUCUCUCCU
rnacentral:tRNA from 1 species